rnacentral:rRNA from 1 species
UACGGGGGGGGCAAGCGUUGUUCGGAAUUACUGGGCGUAAAGGGCUCGUAGGCGGCCAACUAAGUCAUACGUGAAAUCCCUCGGCUUAACCGGGGAACUGCGUCUGAUACUGGAUGGCUUGAGUUCGGGAGAGGGAUGCGGAAUUCCAGGUGUAGCGGUGAAAUGCGUAGAUAUCUGGAGGAACACCCGUGGCGAAAGCGGCGCGCUGGACCACUACUGACGCUGAGGAACGAAAGCUAGGGGAGCAAACAGG